rnacentral:lncRNA from 1 species
CAACAUCUAAAUAGUCCAUUCUGACUGCCCAUUAGUUUGAGGGUGAUAAGUAGUGUUGAAGUACAAGUUAGAGUUAAGAGCUUCUUGGAAGCUAUCCCAAAAGUGAGAAGUUAAAUGAAGAUAAGCAAGAACAUAAUGGAUUUAGACAAUCUCCUCAACAUAUAACUGGGCUAACUUAAUGGUUGAGUAUAUAGUCUUGAU